rnacentral:misc_RNA from 1 species
GGAAAUAUAAUUGAACACCUGCAAAAUAAGUCAGCAUCUAGCCAUCUACAACUGGAAGAAUGGAAGGACAGACUGCAAAUUCCCAACAUUCCAUCUCAACAUUUCUAGGCAAAGAAAUAGCAAAACAAUCUAAUUCAUAUCACCUAUAACAGCUGUUGCACCCUGUGAUGCAUAAAGUGCAACAGCCACUACACUUUUCUGAGCUAGCUGAGCACUCUUCCAACACUCUCCAGUUUUCUCUAAGUUUGCUUGUUUCCCUAAUCUUCAACAGCUUCUUUCAUACCAAAAAUUGUAGAGAUAAUGACCUCAAAUUUUCAAGUGAUAGGAUUGCAGUAAAUUUAGCCAAAAUAAGGUAACUUUCUAUCAUCUUAUGUGCUUUUCUUUGAUUUUAAAGUUUUUAUAAAACUAAAAAUUUUUUACAUCUACAACUACAAGAUCAUUGUGCUUUUUGAGUAAUUUGCUUGAAUCUACAACACUUGGUUUCUUCUUUUUUGAAAAAAAUAGGUUUUUUUUUUCAAAUUUAUUUCAAUAAAGCAAGAUCUCAAAUGUUAACCUUUUGAUGGUGAUCCUAGGGAGUCAGUCAGGUUGGUUUGGUCCCGAACCAAAUUUAGCUAAUUGGAAAUUUGAAAUCUAAAAUUAUGGAAACCAAGCCAAGGUAAAGGGGAAAUCAAAUCAAACUGGAAAUUUUCAAUGUGGUUUGGUUCAUCGGUUUUGCUACUUCCUAUCCCUCAACAGGGCAGCAAAACAGGCCUUCAAAAUCGCAGGCAGAAGAAUUUCACAAAUAAACGUUCAACCACAAUCUCAUCCAAAAAUUACAGUACAAAAUCAAAACUCAAAUUGCAAACAAUUUCAUUAAACAAAUUAAUGCUCACAACAAAUCUGUAACUCAUUUUUCUUAUAUUAUUUAGACUUAAUCACAUAAAUACUUAAAAAUUACAGUUGAAAAUCUAAGUGCAAAUUCUGGGUCGGCGCACUGAGAGGACUAUUCUACUUCUGUGGCUACUGUGAGUUGAUGCACAGAGAGGAGAGUGCAUUCAAUGGGAAAUGGGAAAAGAGGCCAAUUUUGGAGAAGGAGCAACCUGCGAGGAGUGAAGCUGCAACUUGUUAAGAAUAGAAAUUUGAGAAUAAGAGACCAGAGAAGAGAAAGGAAGAGUCAUUGGCAAAACAAGAGCAGGGAGAACCAGAGAACGAAGGCAAAAGCAAGUAAACGAAGACAUGAGGAUUGAGAUUAUGUGAAUGGUAGAAUUGAGAGGAAAGGAGAAAUGCGUGAGACAGAAGAGAAAAAGAAAAUGAGAGUAGGGAAGGGGAAGUUUGGUUUUUUAUUGAAUUAAACAAAAUGAAAAAUCGAUUUUUUUAAAAUGAUAACCAAAAUUGAACCAAAUAACCAAAAAAUCAAAUCAAAUACUAAAUUAAAUCGAUUUAGUUCGCUUUUCGGUUGCUCACCUCUAGUGACCACCAACUCUUUCAAGUAAGACAUGUUUUAUUAUUCAAUAAAAAUGUUCCUUUAGGUGGUUAUUGUCUGAAUAUAUUGUGUAUUUAAUUUAAUUCUUGGUUUACUUGUUUGAAAAAAAUUCAUAUUAUCAACAGCCGAAUUGGUCCUAUCUCAUGACACCAAGAACAAUUCUGAUUCCAUUAUUUAAAACCCUUGUCUGAAUUUUUUUUUUCUAAGUUAAUUUGGAUAAAUAAGCAUGUUAGUGGCAUUGUGAUCCUUUGUGAGAAUAUUUUCAUGGGUAAAACUACUAUGUUUUUAUUGCCUGGGAUUUUAUACAAUCUAAUGGAGUCACCUCUUAGGUGCCAAAAUCAAAAGAAACCUACAGCCUCUUAUGUUGCUUAGCUUUCAAUUCACAACUCAAAUUCAUUUUGAUUGCAGAACACAAAGUCCACAAAAGGACAAAUUAGGUACCUGGUGUAUUGCAUGGAGAAUGCCAUUUUAAAUUUAUCACCAGAUCAGGAGCAGAUGGUGUGGCUGAUCGAUUUCCAUGGCUUCAAUCUGUCACAUAUUUCACUGAAAGUGACGAAGGAAACAGCCCAUGUUUUACAAGAUCAUUAUCCAGAACGGCUGGGUCUGGCAGUACUGUACAACCCACCCAAGUUCUUUGAACCAUUUUGGACGGUAACGAAUGAUUACCUUGUUUCUAUCACACUUUUCAAUGAUGCUUUAAAUUUUUAUCGGAGAAUCAGAACCAUGGAAAUUUUACGGCACCUUUUGCAAAUAUAAAAUACUUGAUUGUAGAAUGUUCCAGGUAAGAUAUUUUCAAAUUAAUGAGGGCAAUACAGCCUAAAAUUGGAAUUCUGCUGUAUUGAGCCAUGCCAGAGAUUUUUGGUCCGAAGACUCAGUGGAUAUUAGAUUAGAAGCAUUUGUGUUUCAAACAAGAUUCCUAACAUUUUAUAUCCUUUUUCUUUUGUUGGCCACUAUGAUGCUUGGAGGCUUUCUUCAACGUGUAAAAUCUUUGUUACUGUCUUCUCAUUCCCAGUUUCCAUAACCUUUUGAACCUGGUAAACAUUAUUGCAAGAUUGUUCAGUUUUAGUAAAUGUGAAUUGUAUAGCUGAAUGGCACAGUAGUCUCUUUGGUGUGUACUGAGCAUUUUUUAGGGGAAAAUACUCCAGUUUGUUCUGUGCAUUGAAAUUUGUCUAUUGCGAAUAGUAGGUCCUGGUGUUAGUUUAUUUUCGGCCUGUCUUUCUUUUUCAUAGUUUUCAUGCUAUUUUAGUGUCGGUUUGUGAUUCCAGGAUACUGUAUUUUAUUGCAGAUGGCAAAAGCAUUUCUAGAGCCUAAAACUUACAAUAAAGUCAAGUUUGUUUACUCUGAUGAAGCUAACACCAUGAAAGUAAUGGAAGAUCUAUUUGAUAUGGACCAACUUGAGUCUGCAUUUGGGGGCAAAGACAAUUCAGGAUUUGAUGUCAGUAAAUACGCUGAGAGGAUGAAGGAGGAUGACAAAAGGAUGCCUUCAUUUUGGACGAGAGAUAGUCAUCCCUCGGCAGUGCCACAACCAGCCCUGAAAUCUGCUGCUUCCUUGGAUGUUAGCGUGGACUCACAUUCUGAUGCUUCUGAAAAUGAUGAAACAGACUGUUUAGAUGUUAAUGGGAUAGAUUCAGAAAUCCUCUCCCUUGAGGACAAUACUUCAGCAAUUGAUAGUGGCAGAAAAGGGUCAGAAAAUGUACAUCCCGGUGAAGUCAAAACCCAUAAUGAUCGAGCACAUUUCUGACUCUGGUUAAGGUAUGAUGACAUAAUAGUGUUGAUGUUAGCCCCGCUGACUAAUUAGAAGACUUAAACCUCGUGCGUUUCUGUCAAUUUAGUAUUAAUAACAUUAUGGAAAUUCUACAAAUGAUUUUUCCUUGUUGAGUUUAUGAAAAAGCACUCAAAACACAUAUUAUGAGUCCAUUUGGAGUUGCUAUUAAAAAACAUACUUCCUCAAACAUAUUAGUUAGAGAGUAUUAAAAAUUAAUUAA